CCUGGCGGCCUUAGCGUGGUGGUCCCACCUGACCCCAUGCCGAACUCAGAAGUGAAACGCCGUAGCGCCGAUGGUAGUGUGGGGUCUCCCCAUGCGAGAGUAGGGAACUGCCAGGC
rnacentral:rRNA from 1 species